GGGUAUGCCAUAGAGGAUUUGACAAGGUCACACAUUAUGUGAUGCUCAUAGCAGAUGCACUUUAUCGUCUUGUGAUGGCCUCCAUGCUCGUAUUAAAGGGCCCAGAAUCUUCUGGAAGAGAGGACUCAGGAUGCACUAAAUUUUUUUUUUAACACCCAGCCGUCCUUGUGUUGGAGGACCCCAGGAUCCUUCAGCUCAGGCUGGAGCCGGCCAGGCUCCUCAGGUGUGGCUCGGGAGGCCUGGGCAAGUGCCAGGUGCUGUAAGGGGUGGCACCUGGUUAGCCUCACCUUAGUCCUGACUCUGGCGUUAGUGGCGUGCUUUCUCCCCUGCAUUUUGCUCUCAUGGAGGUUUCUCAUCCUCUGAUUCUCAAGUUAAGUGUCACUUCCUCCGGGAAGCCUUCCUGGGAAAUCUCUAAAGUCCCUCAGGUCCCCCUAAAACAUCCCUCCCCCUAGCUUGCCCUUUACAUCUCUAAGCAAAUGCUAAUAUACUAAUUAUGCUGGUUGGGUGUGGCCAGUUCAGUCAGCAUCACUGUCUCUCCUUUCACCGCAGAGCAGAGGCUGGGAGCUGCAGUUUCCCAGAAUCCCCGGAUCCCAGGACAGUCCUAGGGUAGAUGUGUUGCAAGGAGAGAAAAGGGGCCGGUAUUCUCCAGAGGUAAGCAGCCAGACAAGGGCACAGACACGAGGCUGAAAGCGGCUCGCAGGAACUACCCACACAUCGACCUUUGGGGGAAACCCACGCAAAGGACUGGAGUCUGGAAGUGGCCCCUGAAAGCGAUUCUCAGGAUGAUGUUUUGGAACUGUCCAAAGUUCCAAAAGAGCUGCUGAGGACAGCUGCCUCUGUGCUUCUCAGAGAUGCUGGCUUACUCUCCUCCAGCCCUGCCCGACUCCCCAGUGCGGAGCAUCCCUGUUCAAACUUCAAGGGGCCAUCCCCGCCGCGGGUCACCCCAGCUCCAAGUGGCCUUACCACAGCAGAGAAUGCCUUGUUACAGGUCAGCGGGGCCGAGAGAAGAAACCAUCUGAAUACAGUAGGCUGGCAGCCCCCAUCAGCUGUGGAGUGCCAGCUCCUCUCCUGUGCCUUUUGGGACCAGCUGAGGAGAUGCAGGUGGCUUUACCCCCACCCAUGGGGGACCCUUGGGGAGCACAGGCUCACCAUGCCUAGGUGUGGGUUGAGGGUGUGAGGGAGAGGUGAUAAUUGUCUUCACACAUCACCUCUGUGUUGUUGGAGUCGCUGCAGCAAACAUGCC
rnacentral:lncRNA from 12 species